GACGAACGCUGGCGGCGUGCCUAACACAUGCAAGUCGAGCGGGGAGAAGAAUACGUUUUUCUCUUUAGCGGCGGACGGGUGAGUAACACGUGGGUAACCUGCCUCAAAGAGGGGGAUAGCCUUCCGAAAGGAAGAUUAAUACCGCAUAAUAUCAGGAAGCUGCAUGGCAUUCUGAUUAAAGGAGCAAUCCGCUUUGAGAUGGACCCGCGGCGCAUUAGCUAGUUGGUGAGGUAACGGCCCACCAAGGCGACGAUGCGUAGCCGACCUGAGAGGGUGAUCGGCCACAUUGGAACUGAGGCACGGUCCAGACUCCUACGGGAGGCAGCAGUGGGGAAUAUUGCACAAUGGGGGAAACCCUGAUGCAGCAACGCCGCGUGAGUGAUGAAGGCCUUCGGGUCGUAAAGCUCUUUGAUCAGGGACGAUAAUGACGGUACCUGAAAAACAAGCCACGGCUAACUACGUGCCAGCCGCCGCCGUAACAC
rnacentral:rRNA from 1 species